GCUGUCGGGAACGUGUAUAUGUAGUCGGGGCUGAGAACACUUUCUGAAGAGUGCAGAGGACGCGGCGUUACAGGCGGGAGAAAAAGAGAUCUGAAGAAGGAAGGUUGUUCGUGCAGGGAGAGACCGAUUAUUACGGAGAUGACGCCAUUUCUGAUCAGGGUACUGUUAGCGGUGUGUUUCACUGCUCUGCUCAAUCUCCCCGCGUACCUGUCAGCAGCGGCGACCGUUAGACAGCCGCUUGAAGUGAAGAGGCAGUGGAGCAAACAGGCCAUGAUGUACAACCAAGGUGGGAACACGCAAGGAAGAAGAUCCUGGGACGAGACACAGGGAUUCAGGGAGU